rnacentral:rRNA from 1 species
UACAGAGGUCUCAAGCGUUGUUCGGAAUCAUUGGGCGUAAAGAGCUCGUAGGCGGCUUAGUAAGUCGGGUGUGAAAACCCCAGGCUCCAACCUGGGGACGCCGACCCGAUACUGCUAUAGCUAGAGUCCAGUAGGGGAGUGUGGAAUUCCCAGUGUAGCGGUGAAAUGCGCAGAUAUUGGGAGGAACACCAGCGGCGAAGGCGGCACUCUGGGCUGGUACUGACGCUGAGGAGCGAAAGCUAGGGGAGCAAACGGG